UGCAAUGGUAGGAAGUACCAGGGAUUG
rnacentral:piRNA from 1 species